rnacentral:rRNA from 1 species
GGGGGAUAUUGCACAAUGGGGGAAACCCUGAUGCAGCGACGCCGCGUGGAGGAAGAAGGUUUUCGGAUUGUAAACUCCUGUCGUUAGGGACGAUAAUGACGGUACCUAACAAGAAAGCACCGGCUAACUACGUGCCAGCAGCCGCGGUAAAACGUAGGGUGCAAGCGUUGUCCGGAAUUACUGGGUGUAAAGGGAGCGCAGGCGGGAAGACAAGUUGGAGGUGAAAACCAUGGGCUCAACCCAUGAAUUGCUUUCAAAACUGUUUUUCUUGAGUAGUGCAGAGGUAGAUGGAAUUCCCGGUGUAGCGGUGGAAUGCGUAGAUAUCGGGAGGAACACCAGUGGCGAAGGCGGUCUACUGGGCACCAACUGACGCUGAGGCUCGAAAGCAUGGGUAGCAAACAGGAUUAGAUACCCUGGUAGUCCAUGCCGUAAACGAUGAUUACUAGGUGUUGGGGGAUUGACCCCCUCAGUGCCGCAGUUAACACAAUAAGUAAUCCACCUGGGGAGUACGACCGCAAGGUUGAAACUCAAAGGAAUUGACGGGGGCCCGCACAAGCAGUGGAGUAUGUGGUUUAAUUCGAAGCAACGCGAAGAACCUUACCAGGUCUUGACAUCCGAUGCAUAGCACAGAGAUGUGUGAAAUCCUUCGGGACAUCGAGACAGGUGGUGCAUGGUUGUCGUCAGCUCGUGUCGUGAGAUGUUGGGUUAAGUCCCGCAACGAGCGCAACCCUUAUUGCCAGUUACUACGUUAAGAGGACUCUGGCGAGACUGCCGUUGACAAAACGGAGGAAGGUGGGGAUGACGUCAAAUCAUCAUGCCCUUUAUGACCUGGGCUACACACGUACUACAAUGGCGUUAAACAAAGAGAAGCAAGACCGCGAGGUGGAGCAAAACUCAAAAACAACGUCUCAGUUCAGAUUGCAGGCUGCAACUCGCCUGCAUGAAGUCGGAAUUGCUAGUAAUCGCGGAUCAGCAUGCCGCGGUGAAUACGUUCCCG